AUUGAACGCUGGCGGCAUGCCUUACACAUGCAAGUCGAACGGCAGCACGGGAGCAAUCCUGGUGGCGAGUGGCGAACGGGUGAGUAAAGUAUCGGAACGUGCCCAGUCGUGGGGGAUAACGUAGCGAAAGUUACGCUAAUACCGCAUACGAUCUAUGGAUGAAAGCGGGGGAUCGCAAGACCUCGCGCGAUUGGAGCGGCCGAUAUCAGAUUAGGUAGUUGGUGGGGUAAAGGCUCACCAAGCCGACGAGCUGUAGCUGGUCUGAGGGGACGACCAGCCACACUGGGACUGAGACACUGCCCAGACGCCUACGGGAGGCAGCAGUGGGGAAUUUUGGACAAUGGGCGAAAGCCUGAUCCAGCCAUGCCGCGUGCAGGAUGAAGGCCUUCGGGUUGUAAACUGCUUUUGUACGGAACGAAAAGGUUUGGGCUAAUAAGCUGAGCUCAUGACGGUACCGUAAGAAUAAGCACCGGCUAACUACGUGCCAGCCGCCGCAGUAA
rnacentral:rRNA from 1 species